UACGGAGGGUGCAAGCGUUAUCCGGAUUUACUGGGUUUAAAGGGUGCGUAGGUGGGUCUGUAAGUCAGUGGUGAAAUCUCCGAGCUUAACUCGGAAACUGCCAUUGAUACUAUAGGUCUUGAAUUAUCUGGAGGUAAGCGGAAUAUGUCAUGUAGCGGUGAAAUGCUUAGAUAUGACAUAGAACACCAAUUGCGAAGGCAGCUUACUACGGAUCGAUUGACACUGAGGCACGAAAGCGUGGGGAUCAAACAGG
rnacentral:rRNA from 2 species